UGACAGUCGAGCGGCAGCGGGAAGUAGCUUGCUACUUUGCCGGCGAGCGGCGGACGGGUGAGUAAUGUCUGGGAAACUGCCUGAUGGAGGGGGAUAACUACUGGAAACGGUAGCUAAUACCGCAUGACCUCGAAAGAGCAAAGUGGGGGAUCUUCGGACCUCACGCCAUCGGAUGUGCCCAGAUGGGAUUAGCUAGUAGGUGAGGUAAUGGCUCACCUAGGCGACGAUCCCUAGCUGGUCUGAGAGGAUGACCAGCCACACUGGAACUGAGACACGGUCCAGACUCCUACGGGAGGCAGCAGUGGGGAAUAUUGCACAAUGGGCGCAAGCCUGAUGCAGCCAUGCCGCGUGUGUGAA
rnacentral:rRNA from 1 species